rnacentral:misc_RNA from 1 species
UAUUUUUUUAAUAAUAUCUAAAAUGAUUUUUUUUUCUUUCUUUGGAAUAGUUUCAGCCUUUCAACCUCAAUGCCAAACAGACACUAUAUUUUGCAUUAGCUUUGCUAAUUUUGUGGCAACAAAGUAGAGAAACAAAGGAUUUAAUAUGUAUUUUACGAGUAAUUAUACUGUACAACCGUGAUUCCAUAUAGGAUAUCCUACAUGGAAUAGCAACCCAAUAA